rnacentral:lncRNA from 1 species
CCUCAUCAUCCUUCCCCAGGCAAUUUCUUCCUCCUAUGUACUUGCCAACUGGCUGCCAAAUAGGUUUGGCCAAAAGGAUACAAUGGUAGGAGACUGAAAAACAGGAGAAGAUGUAACCAUAAUAUUUCAACUCUUUCUCUGCAUUGAGUGAUGUCUCUGGCAGACAAACACUAUCUUCCAGAGCCGGUCUGCUGGGGACAAGAGUGUGCAGAUGCCUAAAUGUCUGACUUGUGAUGGAAAUGCCUGUUCCCAUGGAGCCGCUGCUUCCAAGAAAGCUUGCCACAGACAAAGACAAGGCAGAAAAUGGCCUCCUCACUGGAGAUGAAAAGAAGCUGCACUGAUGAGGAAAUCUGUUCCCAACUCCUGUCACUAAAAUUUCCUCUUCUGCCUCUAGUUUUCUUUAUUGUGCACCCCCUGAAGCAUUUGCAUUUGUGUAUUGCAACACACAAUAGAGAAACUAUGAUUCUAUAACCCAAUUUUGGUAAAUGCUACCAAAGUGGAGAGAAUAAUAUACAGAAAUAUAGGGCCUCCUGAUUACUUUAAGACUAAGAUUCAUCUCCCAUUGGGCCUUUAUAUUGUUGAGAGAACUCUAAAGAUCUAACAUAUACUUUGGAACAUUUGGAAGACAACAACAAUUACCUGUGUAUCAGCUUGUAUUGGUGUAUUGCAUAGCUGUAGCUGUGCCUAUAUCAGAUUAUUAGAAUCAAUGCAUUUAAAAUACCUAACACAUGUCAGAUACAAUGCUGAGUACUGAGGAAACAAAGAUGGCAGGGUCCCCUGACUUCCAGGAGCUCACACUUUAGAAAGAUAGGCAUAUGAAUAACUAUCUGUAGAAUAUUGUGCUAAUUUAUUUAGAAAAUGUAAUCGGAACACAGAUGACAUAACAAAGAACUGUGGUGGAGACAAAGAUAGAGUUUGAGAGAAAGGUAUAGGAGAAAAGACGUUUAUGCUGGGCUUCAAAAGGUGAAUUGAAAUUUUCCUGGCUGGACAAAGAUGGAAAGGGCAUUUCAGCAGAGAUAAAAACAAUAAAGACCUCAAGACAUGGAAGUGCACGGCAUGCCUAAAGAACAUGUAAAGCUGAAGGGUUAGAAUGCUAGGUAAUAUUUCAGCAAGUGUGAUCAUCAACAUUACUAUCAUUUGGAGUGUUUGUUUAACUUUUCAGUUUCCUGAGCUCUAGACUGAACCUACUGAAUCAGACUAUCUGAAAAUGAGGAUGAGGAAUCUGAAUUUUGGAAAUGUGUGUGAUGAAUAAAGGUUGAGAACCAUCCUAUUUAGGUCGAGUCAGGAAUACAGGGAAGGACACAUUGACUCAUGACUCCAAGUAGUUCUGUGGUUAUAUGCUUAUAUACUAUUAGACUGAUCAAUUCAAUUCCAAAUGUGUUCAAUCAAAUAAAUAGAUUUCACUGUUUGUAAAUUUAUUAUUGUAAAUUGCAAAACUUCUGUAAACAGAAGCCCACUUACUAUAAAUUGAGUCAAAAGACAAAGAUCCAACUGUGCCUGUUCAAAAAUGGGAAGAUGUUUUCCAGACUGUUUUCGGCUCCAAAGAGAAUCUUCUUAUCUAACACUGGGAUCUUGAUUAAAAUCUCUCCCUUCUCAGCAGCAAAAAACUCUCUCAAGGAGUCUCAAAAGAGAGUCAGCUCAGGGGCUGGCCUGGUGGUGUAGUGGUUAAGUUUGCAAGCUCUGCUUUGGCGGCCCAGGAUUCACAAGUUUGUAUCCCAGGUGUGGACCUACACACCGAUAAUCAAGCCAUGCUGUAGCGGCAUCCCACAUACAAAGUAGAGGAGGAUGGGCAGAGAUGUCAGCUGAAGGUCAAUCUUCCUCACAAAAGAGAGAGAGAGAGAGAGAGAGAGAGUCAUCUCAGAGCUGCUCACAGCAGUCUUUCCAUCAUUGAGCUUGGUUGUAUGACUACAUAGACUUGGGUGACAGCAGAGCCACUGUGAAGAGGACAAGGCAGAGAGCAAGCUGGAAAGUUGAAAGACUCCUUGUCUGAGGCACAGAGGCUGGACCAGAAGGACUGGAUGCCUCAGAGAGACAUUGACUUCUUUUCAAUGGGCACAUCAGCAUCAGUGCAAAUUGAUGAUCCCAGAUGAGAAGCAGACAACACAAAUUCGGCAGAGCAGCGCAGUAAAGCCAGAAUGAGAUAAAAUAUUGGCAGCCACUCAAAGCUAUGCACUUUCCCAACCUGUCCUCAGAGUGAUUUGGUGCUCAUUUUAGAGCCCUAUAGUAGUCCUAGCUACCUAUCACCCCAAUAAUUGCACACACAAAUACCUGCAAUUAAGUUACUAGCUUAAAAAUUGAUACACAAUUCAGUCAGUGUUGAUUUAAUGUUUCUCAACAAAACCUUUUUUUUCCCUCUAAGGUAGUAUGUCU